rnacentral:lncRNA from 1 species
GGCGCAUCCCCUGGGCGGGCACAGCCGUCCGCCUUCCGAGCUCGGCCCCCGCGAAGGCUCCUACCCGCCUGCUCUCCUGUAACGCACCCGCAGCCCAAAGGCUCCCGACACGCGCCGCUCGUCUUGCACCCUCUCUCCCCACCCAGCCGCCACCCCUCCUGGCCCUCCUUCCGCACUCACUCGCAGCUCUCGCUUGCCUUCGCUCACUCCCAACCCGCUUCUCGCCCCUUCCCCGCGACUCUGUCAGUUUCCACUCCCCUGGCGGCCUCCACGCGCGGAGGACCUCGCCUGCGGCCGGGCGUUCCAGGGGCGCAGCCCCGGGUUCCUCCACCCUCCGCUUUCUCUGCUCGCAUCCAGACCCUUCGCCCCGAAUAGGACCCCUAUCCCUGCCCAGCUAGCGCGCACUAAGUGGGCUCUGCAAACGACAAGUGGCGCAGACGCGGGGGCUGCAGCCCCAGUACGGGGGAUUCCGCGCGCAGAGCGUCCGCCGGACCCCGGAGCAGGCCCGGGAGAGCGGAGGCGGGGAGGGCGCGGGAGAGGGCGACGACAGCUGCGGAGCCUGGGAGGCAGGGACCGCGCCAGGCCGGCUAGGCCACCGCACGCAAGGCUCGGAGCGACCCAAAUGUGGAGCUCCUCCUCCUCCUGCGCCAGCGGGUGAGCACCGCGCCGGAGGCCGCCGUGAGCUUGGGCCCCUUAGGAACGAAGAGCAGGGGAAGGAGCCUCGGAUUGGGGUCCACAGGGCCGGGCCUGUUUCUCGCAGGCAGUUGUGCCGUCUUGUGUGGGUGCCUUGGACGGCCCCGCCUCAGCCACUCCUGGGGCCCCGACAGUCCGGUUAGCUCAUCCCGUCCAGCUUGUGGCGACCCCGUCGCAGGAGCGCGGAGGGCAGGCGGGGAGGCUCGGGCAGAGCCAAGGAGGCGGGCCUUGGAGCCCAAACCAGCGCCUCCGGCUCAGCGCAGAUGGGGUGGGAGUCGGAGCUCCAGGACGGGGCGCGCUCCCUUCCCGCUCCGAAGCCGGGGUACCCUGCGCUGCCCUGGAGGUCGAACCUCUGGUUCGCGCUCCGGGUCCUCUCUGGUAUCAGCCUCACACCCCUCCUCCUGCCCGACUCCAGCCCUUACCUCGCCCUGGACUCGGAGCUGAGGGCAGCGGUGGGUCCCAAGAUCGAGCGGUGAAACUGAGAGUGCGAGAGCGUGUAACGGAAGACGGAGGAAUGGUCCAAAGAGAACUGGAGGUGGAGGUUGCGGGAGCACCCUCGGCAAGGCCAUCACCGGGAACCCUGCCUCUCCGCGGUGUUUAGAGAACAUCGCACUCACUAAAAAGAAAAUAGGAAAUGGCCCAGCUCCCUUGAGCUAUUAAGCUUGAUUCAAAUACUGUCUCUGCGUGUCUGACAUGCUUACAUCCUUUUGCAUCUAUUAGGCUGGUGAAUUGAAGUGACUCAGACAAUGCCCCGGCCCCGAAGUUUUAAUUAUCUUAGCAUGAAAGAGAUGGGGGCGGGGAGAGGCUCCCUAAGGAUCCAAGUGCUUAAUCACUUCCAGACUUCAGUUCACCUUAAAAUGAUGUCGUUUUAACCUCAACCUGGAGGAAAGCAGUUUACCAGUGGGGUAUAAAAGCCCAAAAUAGGCCAGGCGCUGUGGCUCAAGCCUGUAAUCCCAGCACUUUGGGAGGCCGAGGCGGUGGAUCGCCUGAGGUCAGGAGUUCGAGACCAGCCUGGCCAACACGGUGAAACCCCAUCUCUACUAAAAAUACAAAAAUUAGCCGGGCGUGGCCCCAGCUACUUGAGAGGACGAGCCACGAGAAUCGCUUGAACCCGGGAGGCUGAAGUUGCAGUGAGCCGAGGUGGGCGACAGAGCAAGACUCCAUCUCAAAAUAAAUAAAUAAAAGCCCAAAAUAGGAAUAAUACUUAAGUGGACCAGGGAUUUUACAUACUUUUCCAAGAUGUCCUUAAUCGCAAAAUUAACCCCCUGAGCUUUCACCCGUUGAGCUUUCGAUCGUCUGAGAUGCUGAGUAUGUGCAUUUACUUCGCAUUUUCAGAUUUAUUCACUUGACAAAUGUAUUUUGAGCACCUGCUACUUGUCAGGAACCGUCCUAGGCACUUGGAACACAUCAGUGAACAAAGCAAAGAUCGUUGCCUUCUUGUUGCAUUAUAUUUUAAUCAGUGUUACCUUUCCCUCAAACGUUCACAAACAUACCAGAGAGGAGUUUGCUGAGGACAAAAAAUGGCAAAUGAGAGCUUUUUGCACUUUCGUAUACGUGUCCUCUGCACCGGGUUUAGUCAUUUUCAACAUACCCUCCCCUCACUCAUCCACAUCCUCUGCUUUUAGUUCAGAACAACAGUCGUUGUGUGAAACUCUGAGCCUUCACACCACUACCUUGUUUUUAAAUGUAAUUGCUAAUCUUCAACGCCAUCUUCUGGUUUACUCAUUUGCCAUAUUGAUCCACUAGAAGUUAUUUUUCUUAAUGAUGAUGUGAAUACAAGUAAUAAAACAUUUUAAUCACUAAAACUCCGGAUGGCCUCAUUAC